UGGAGUUUGAUCAUGGCUCAGAUUGAACGCUGGCGGCAUGCCUUACACAUGCAAGUCGAACGGCAGCACGGGAGCAAUCCUGGUGGCGAGUGGCGAACGGGUGAGUAAUACAUCGGAACGUGCCCAGUAGUGGGGGAUAACCCGGCGAAAGCCGGACUAAUACCGCAUACGACCUACGGGUGAAAGCAGGGGAUCGCAAGACCUUGCGCUAUCGGAGCGGCCGAUGUCAGAUUAGCUUGUUGGCGGGGUAAAAGCCCACCAAGGCGACGAUCUGUAGCUGGUCUGAGAGGACGACCAGCCACACUGGGACUGAGACACGGCCCAGACUCCUACGGGAGGCAGCAGUGGGGAAUUUUGGACAAUGGGCGCAAGCCUGAUCCAGCCAUGCCGCGUGCGGGAAGAAGGCCUUCGGGUUGUAAACCGCUUUUGUCAGGGAAGAAACGCUCCGGGUUAAUACCCCGGAGUAAUGACGGUACCUGAAGAAUAAGCACCGGCUAACUACGUGCCAGCAGCCGCGGUAAUACGUAGGGUGCAAGCGUUAAUCGGAAUUACUGGGCGUAAAGCGUGCGCAGGCGGUUCGCUAAGACAGAUGUGAAAUCCCCGGGCUUAACCUGGGAACUGCAUUUGUGACUGGCGGGCUAGAGUAUGGCAGAGGGGGGUAGAAUUCCACGUGUAGCAGUGAAAUGCGUUCACACAGG
rnacentral:rRNA from 1 species